CUGAAUCGAAGUAAACCGAUGUUUUUAGCUACUACCUACACGCCUCGUUGCUUGUAGUAAUGCAAUGCGUGCCGGACGGAACAUUUCUGUCAAGUUGAAAUUAUCCUGGUUUGCAGUAGGCGUCUGUCAUUUGAUAUUAUUAUUCCUGUCGCUUUAUGAGAGAAUAUGGGAACUGGUUAAAUUGGAAGAACCUUUUCUCGUACAGGACCAUAUAGUUAUAUUAACUUCCUAUGCGGCGCAACUACUAAGCAUUUUUCUUCUUAUUUUUGGAUCCGUUAAGGGAAAUCCAUACUACAUUAUACCGUGGUUAAUUUGUACUGCACCUUUGUUUUUUUCUGCAACUCUAUAUGCAGUCCUAUAUGUAUCACAGGAAGAGACAAGUCAGAUGUUCCUUAACUUCAUUGUUGUAGGUAUAAUAUGGUCGACAUGGUAUGUGGUUAUAAAAUUUCAUAUAGAAAAUCGAAUCAAAGCUCGAUGAAGAUCCUUCAUUGUUACAAAGUAGAAGACGCUGUUACUGUCUGUGUGGUUUUAUAAUGGACAGUACUAAUAUUUUUCCAUUAUUAAAACGUUUUUUAUAUAUCACCUGUUUAGACAGAGAAAUUGCCUCAAGCCUGUGUUCAAUAAAAUCAUUCAACUCUUAAGUUUAACUGGUUCUAAUCGUUAUAAUGAAUUUCCUGAAUGAGCUCCUAUACAAUAAAGAAAAAAACAAAAUCUAUCUGAUAGGCACCCUGCAUUCUGUUAUGGUAUGUUUCGGUUUCUGGUCACUUGUUUUGGAAAUAUUAGACAGAGAAGAACCUAUUACCAAAUCUGACAUCGUUUAUAUAGCUGUCCAUUACACAAUACACUUUAUUUUGAUAUUGUUUUUAUUUGUUGGAACGUAUACAGACACUCUCUUUUUCUUAAUACCCUGGUUGGGAGCAAGCUUCCUAACCUAUUUUUACAUAACGGCGCUAACAUUAAUUUCACUAAAAAGCAGGAAAUUACAUGAUGCCUUAUUGUAUUCAAUGAAUUUUAUCUAUUUAUCAAUUUGCUGGUAUUCCUGGUAUGUAGUAAUUUCCUAUUUCAUGGCGGCGUACAGAAGAAGAAAAUUGAAUUACUCCGGUAUUUAUUAAAAUGAUUUUCAAAUUCUCUUUAAUUUUAAAAUGACGAGACAUCUGAGUAUAUGUAAAACUAUGUCUAUCCACAUUGAGAUGCUAUUAGAAAGAAAUCGAAGUUUGACGUUUAGAAUCAAUCCUCAAUUCAAGUUAAAUUAGAACAAAAAUGUCAAUUAUUCACUGUUUCUCAUUUUUACACGUACUGUUCAAUAAGUAAUUGUACUGAAGUAGAUUUCAACAUUGUGAUGUAAGAUGUAUUUUUUUUUGUCUAUUUUGAUGUUUUGCCACACGUGAAAAAAAUUGUAGGCCCAGACAUAUAGAAGAAAAACAAAAACUGUGUCAUAAAUAAAUUACUUCGGACAACAUAUUUAAUAUUGUCUAUUGUGACUUGUAAUCUUUUAUUAAGUCUCUGUAUUUGUAUGCUGUAUUAUGACUUUUGUAUAAAGUUGUAGGUUUCUUCAAACCAAACGCUGAAGCUACAUUUUUAUAAUUAAUUACGGUGCCACUAUUUGAAACAAAGAGAAACCGAAGUGCCAAAAAUUUUAAAGUCACUUGUUUUCAGUCCAUUCCUCCUCUGUAGAUAAUCUUAAUGCCAUUCGCGCAAUUAAAUUAUGGCUUAUUUUACUCCAACGUCAUUCGCAAAAAGUGUCAUUUUGAUAUCAAAUUAAACACUUUGUCAAUGCUUUAAAAUAAUUGCCAACAAUUUCAAUCUUCUCAUGAUUAUUGCGAACUUGUCACUUCAGCAAAAAAGAAAAGAAGUCAGCAAAUUGCUAAGAGAAGAACAUUUCAAUGUGUAGGCACUAUAUUCAAAACAAUAAUUAUUAUAUACAAAUAAAAUGAAAUGAGCUUGACUUAAAAUACCUCAAAACAUAAAAAGUAUGUCUGAUUGUGAGUGUAAGCCAAAUAUUUUCUAGACGAGUAUUUUAUAGAUGUUAAGUACAAAUAUAUACAAGCUGUCAUUUUUAAGUGUUCAAUGUUUGCUAUAUAUGCUGUUUGCUAACGUUAUGUAUUGUUUGGAAAAUAAAAACUAUUAUUGGUA